rnacentral:rRNA from 1 species
AAUCAACGCUGGCGGCGCGCUUAACACAUGCAAGUCGCACGAGAAAGUGGAGCAAUCCAUGAGUACAGUGGCGUACGGGUGAGUAACACGUGGGUAAUCUACCUCUUAGUGGGAUAACUCUGGGAACCGGAGCUAAUACCGCAUAAGCCUGGAAAGGGAAAGACAGCAAUGCGCUGAGAGAGGAGCCCGCGGCCGAUUAGCUAGUUGGUAGGGU